GACCUUUUAUCAGUAAAGUUGAUGGCCUGAUUGAUAGAUGUGUAUAAAUUGUAUAAUAGAUACUUAUCUCUGUUGCUGUUAACCUUUACAUUUACUUUAUAGACCGUUAGCGACGAUUAAAACUACUUAACGCUCUAUUGACGUUCCAUUGCAUAUUGGUACUUACGCCUGCUGCAGAAAUACAAGAUGUUGUGUAACGGCGUCAUAGCAGCUUUGUUAGUUCUGGCAAGCGUAACACCAAGUUUCCAAGACCCGACUGGCGACCCUAAAGAGGAGGAGUGCAAAAAAAUAUCUUCGUGUGCGUCUUGCAUAGCUAAAAGUUUUUGCACGUGGUGUGUUACCAAAAGUAAAUGCACCAAGCAAUCAUGCGGCAACGAUAACAUAAUUUUCCCCCAAGGGUACUCCUCCAUAAUGGCUGGGCCGCAGUUCUGUCCCAGGGUCGUGCAACCGGAAGAAAUACAGACUCUAAAAAGUGGAGCAAAACAAAUUAUUGCUGUGAAACUUACUCAAAUACAUUUGUAUAUGGCGUUUACUCCAUGGAAAUGUAAAAUAGAUUAUAACGGAGCGCAAACGACAGUGGUGGCAAUGUUGUUAGGUGACCAAGUAUUUUGUGAAUCUGUGUUACUUACUAACGAGUCUCAUGAGCCGUACGUGAGCGGGAGUGUAUCAGUUCUGUGGGACUACAGUAAAUCCUUUGAUGGAUCUGUUCCGUUUAAAGUGUGCCGCUGUGACUUAGACCCUUAUUGUAAAGCUUGUAACAAAUUAACUUUAGGCCAAUAGAUUAAGAGCUACUUUAAGAUGUGUUUGUACAUAAUAAAUUACCAAAGCAGUUUUAAA